rnacentral:rRNA from 1 species
GACGAACGCUGGCGGCGUGCUUAACACAUGCAAGUCGAACGGAAAGGCCCUGCUUUUGUGGGGUUCUCGAUUGGCGAACGGGUGAGUAACACGUGAGUAACCUGCCCUUGACUUUGGGAUAACUUCAGGAAACUGGGGCUAAUACCGGAUAGGAGCUCCUGCUGCAUGGUGGGGGUUGGAAAGUUUCGGCGGUUGGGGAUGGACUCGCGGCUUAUCGGCUUGUUGGUGGGGUAGUGGCUUACCAAGGCUUUGACGGGUAGCCGGCCUGAGAGGGUGACCGGCCACAUUGGGACUGAGAUACGGCCCAGACUCCUACGGGAGGCAGAAGUGGGGAAUAUUGCACAAUGGGCGGAAGCCUGAUGCAGCAGCGCCGCGUGCGGGAUGACGGCCUUCGGGUUGUAAACCGCUUUCGCCUGUGACGAAGCGUGAGUGACGGUAAUGGGUAAAGAAGCACCGGCUAACUACGUG